rnacentral:rRNA from 1 species
UACGUAGGGUGCAAGCGUUGUCCGGAAUUAUUGGGCGUAAAGAGCUCGUAGGCGGUUUGUCGCGUCUGCUGUGAAAACGCGGGGCUCAACUCCGCGCCUGCAGUGGGUACGGGCAGACUAGAGUGCAGUAGGGGGAGACUGGAAUUCCUGGUGUAGCGGUGGAAUGCGCAGAUAUCAGGAGGAACACCGGUGGCGAAGGCGGGGUCUCUGGGCUGUAACUGACGCUGGAGGAGCGAAAGCGUGGGUAGCGAACAGG